AAAAAGGCAAACCCUAGAUUUCCGUGUCCAACUUUGACUGUCCGUCUUAUAUGAAAUUUUUUUAUAAUUCGUAUUUUCAUUGUUGUUAGAUGAUAAAACAUGAUUAAUAUUUUAUGCGUGACUUGUCUUUUUAAUUUUUUUCAUAAUUUUUUCAAAUAAGACGGACGGUCAAACGUUGGACAUGGAAACCAAGGUUUAUCUUUUU
rfam:Oryza sativa (indica cultivar-group) chromosome 2, whole genome shotgun sequence.